UUGAUCUCAAAUCAGGUAGGACUACCCGCUGAACUUAAGCAUAUCAAUAAGCGGAGGAAAAGAAACUAACAAGGAUUCCCCUAGUAACUGCGAGUGAAGCGGGAAGAGCUCAAAUUUAAAAUCUGGCGUGCCUCUGGUCGUCCGAGUUGUAGUCUGGAGAAGCGUUUUCCGUGUUGGACCGUGUAUAAGUCUCUUGGAAUAGGGCGUCAUAGAGGGUGAGAAUCCCGUCUUUGACACGGACUACCAAUGCUU
rnacentral:rRNA from 1 species